rnacentral:rRNA from 1 species
GUGAUGACGAGGCACUACGGUGCUGAAGUGACAAAUGCCCUGCUUCCAGGAAAAGCCUCUAAGCAUCAGGUAACACGAAAUCGUACCCCAAACCGACACAGGUGGUCAGGUAGAGAAUACCAAGGCGCUUGAGAGAACUCGGGUGAAGGAACUAGGCAAAAUGGUGCCGUAACUUCGGGAGAAGGCACGCUGAUAUGUAGGUGAAG